AUGUACGGUGACCGACGCACUUCGGAGUACAUUAUGGGCCUGCGUAAUUUUCUCGGUGUGGCCACGGCAACCAAGCAGAAUGGUUUUAUGUACUGUCCAUGUGUUCACUAUGGGAAUACGAAGAAUUACUCAUCCCCGAAAACCCUUCACGUCCACUUGCUUGAGAAGGGAUUCAUGCCCCACUAUUAUGUUUGGACCAAGCACGGACAAAGAGGGGUUGUGAUGGAAGACAAUGAAGAAGAAGGGGACGAUGACAACUAUCCGCAUGCUAUGUUCCCUGAAUACGGUGAUACUACAAUGGGGGAAGCUCAAGAUCAAGAGGCACCAGAUGUGCCCGAUGAUAAUCUUCGCCGGGUCAUUGUUGAUGCAGAGAGAGGAUGCGAAAAUGAAAGGGAGAAGUUGAAGUUCGAUCACAUGUUAGAGGAUCACAAAAAAUGGUUGUACCCAAGUUGCAAAGAUGGCAACACAAAGCUCGGUACCACAAUGGAAUUGCUGCAAUUGAAGGCAGAGAAUGGUGUAUCUGACAAGGGAUUUGGUUCGCUACUGAUAAUAGUGAACAAGAAGCUUCCAAAGGAUAACGAAUUGCCUGACAGUAUGUAUGAGGCAAAGAAGGUUUUCUGCCCUCUAGGUUUAGAGGUGCAGAACAUACAUGCAUGCCCUAAUGACUGUAUCCUCUACCGCGGUGAGGAGUACGACAAUUUGCAUGCAUGCCCGGUAUGUGGUGCACUGCGGUAUAAGAUGAGACGAGAUGACCCUGGUGAUGUUGAGGGCGAGCGCCCCAGGAAGAGGGUUCCUGCCAUGGUGAUGUGGUAUGCUCCGAUAAUACCAUGGUUGAAACGUUUGUUUGGAAACAAUGAGCAUGACAAGUUAUUGCGAUGGCACAAAUAA
rnacentral:rRNA from 1 species